rnacentral:tRNA from 1 species
AAGGAAGGACAGAAAUCAGUAAGUACUGCUAAUACUUAUACCCGGGGUUAAAGUCCCCGGCUUUCUUAC